UUAUGCAGCACAAUAGAUGUGGAGAUAUGUUUAGAAGAACUUCACAUUUUUACUGUGUUAAUAUCCUGCUAAAGAUGAAGUAUACUGCUCAUCUCUUGACUGAGAGGAGAUGAGGGGUAGGUGUGGAAUCACAGCAGACCCCAGUCCCAGCCCCAGCCCCAGCCCCAGCCAAAGGAUAGGAAAGUAUUGGAGUACUUGGCUUAGCAUAGUAUGGUAAAGAAAAGAUCCCAUGGAUCUGUGAAGUAAAAAUGCCCUUUGUGAUGUUUGAUUUGUACAGAGUGGUAAGCAGCAGAAUCUGGAGUAGUAUUCCAGAAGACCUUAUGAUCUGACUAUUAAUAGUUGGAGUGUGGUUAAACAAUAUCUGUCAUGGAGGUUGGUUUAGUUUUUUUCUUAAAGGAUACCAAAGCCAUCCUUCAGACUUAAUUAACUUAGGGCACUAAUACUUGGUCCACUGCCAUAACUUUCAAGCAUCUUAAGUUCAAAAAUCAACUCAAGAAGAGGUAAGAGUAGUUCUUUCUUCAUAUCAACAGAACAAUAUUGCCGAGACUGAGACAGACACUAUGUGGAUCUCUAACAUAGUGGACUGUAGAAUAUUUCUCAUUCCUUAAAGAGGUUUCCUUAAAGAGAAGAUCUCUUCCUAUAUACAUUCUGAAAGAUUUGAUUUAAAGGGCCCAUGUCUUUUUUUUGAGAUCAAAACACAUCACCACCAAUCAUCCUGGCAGAUAUGCACCAUUAUCAUCAGCAUUUUGUAGAAAUAAAAACAAAUGGGUGAGUU